UAGGGAAUCUUCGGCAAUGGACGAAAGUCUGACCGAGCAACGCCGCGUGAGUGAAGAAGGUUUUCGGAUCGUAAAACUCUGUUGUUAGAGAAGAACAAGGACAUUAGUAACUGAACGUCCCCUGACGGUAUCUAACCAGAAAGCCACGGCUAACUACGUGCCAGCAGCCGCGGUAAUACGUAGGUGGCAAGCGUUGUCCGGAUUUAUUGGGCGUAAAGCGAGCGCAGGCGGUUUCUUAAGUCUGAUGUGAAAGCCCCCGGCUCAACCGGGGAGGGUCAUUGGAAACUGGGAGACUUGAGUGCAGAAGAGGAGAGUGGAAUUCCAUGUGUAGCGGUGAAAUGCGUAGAUAUAUGGGGGAACACCAGUGGCGAAGGCGGCUCUCUGGUCUGUAACUGACGCUGAGGCUCGAAAGCGUGGGGAGCAAACAGG
rnacentral:rRNA from 1 species